rnacentral:rRNA from 1 species
AUUGAACGCUGGCGGCAGGCCUAACACAUGCAAGUCGAACGAGUGGCGCACGGGUGUGUAAUGUCUGGGACACUGCCCGAUGGAGGGGGAUAACUACUGGAAACGGUAGCUAAUACCGCAUACCAUCGGAUGUGCCAAGGUGGGAUUAGCUGGUAGGUGGGGUAAUGGUUCACCAAGGCGACGAUCCCUAGCUGGUCUGAGAGGAUGACCAGCCACACUGGAACUGAGACACGGUCCAGACUCCUACGGGAGGCAGCAGUGGGGAAUAUUGCACAAUGGGCGCAAGCCUGAUGCAGCCAUGCCGCGUGUAUGAAGAAGGCCUUAGGGUUGUAAAGUACUUUCAGCGGGGAGGCGUUACCCGCAGAAGAAGCACCGGCUAACUCCGUGCCAGCAGCCGCGGUAAUAC